UACGUAGGGACCGAGCGUUGUCCGGAUUCAUUGGGCGUAAAGAGCUCGUAGGCGGCUGUUCAAGUCGAACGUGAAAACUCGGAGCUCAACUCCGAGCCUGCGUUCGAUACUGGACGGCUAGAGUCUGGUAGGGGGAUCUGGAAUUCCUGGUGUAGCGGUGGAAUGCGCAGAUAUCAGGAGGAACACCGGUGGCGAAGGCAGCCGCCUGGCCUGACACUGACGCUGAGGUGCGAAAGCGUGGGGAGCGAACGGG
rnacentral:rRNA from 1 species